AUACGGAGGAUCCGAGCGUUAUCCGGAUUUAUUGGGUUUAAAGGGUGCGCAGGCGGGAGAUUAAGUCGGCGGUGAAAUUUUGCCGCUCAACUGUAAAAGUGCCUUUGGAACUGGGUUCCUUGAGUGUAGAUGAAGUAGGCGGGAUUUGUGGUGUAGCGGGGAAAUGCAUAGAUAUCACGAGGAACUCCGAUUGCGCAGGCAGCUUACUAAACUACUACUGACGCUCAGGCACGAAGGCGUGGGGAUCAAACAGGAUUAGAUACCCUGGUAGUCCACGCAGUAAACGAUGAUUACUAGCUGUUUGCGAUACAAUGUAAGCGGCUGAGCGAAAGCGUUAAGUAAUCCACCUGGGGAGUACGUUCGCAAGAAUGAGACUCAAAUGAAUUGGCGGGG
rnacentral:rRNA from 1 species